AAAAGACGCUUCUCAAGAAAGAGAGGGGCAGUCGGUCUGUACAUGCGUGAGGUGGCGAGAGGCGUGUCCAGGGGGCGGCUAGUAGCGUGUGCCACCGUGGAAAUAUGUACAGACAUAAAGAAGACGCCCUCAAGAAAGGCCUGAGUCCAGACCGAGACCCAGAGAAAUGUAAACAAACGCACCAGUCAGACUUGAUAUAGGAGUGAAUUUGUUGCUUUUUAAAGCGGCAGUCGGUCUGUACAUGUGUGAGGUGGCGAGGGGUGUCGCCAGGGGGCGGCUAGAAGCGUCUGCCACCAGGGAAAUAUGUAAAAACAUAAAAAAGACGCUUCUCAAGAAAGAGAGGGGCAGUCGGUCUGUACAUGCGUGAGGUGGCGAGAGGCGUGUCCAGGGGGCGGCUAGUAGCGUGUGCCACCGUGGAAAUAUGUACAGACAUAAAGAAGACGCCCUCAAGAAAGGCCUGAGUCCAGACCGAGACCCAGAGAAAUGUAAACAAACGCACCAGUCAGACUUGAUAUAGGAGUGAAUUUGUUGCUUUUUAAAGCGGCAGUCGGUCUGUACAUGUGUGAGGUGGCGAGGGGUGUCGCCAGGGGGCGGCUAGAAGCGUCUGCCACCAGGGAAAUAUGUAAAAACAUAAAAAAGACGCUUCUCAAGAAAGAGAGGGGCAGUCGGUCUGUACAUGCGUGAGGUGGCGAGAGGCGUGUCCAGGGGGCGGCUAGUAGCGUGUGCCACCGUGGAAAUAUGUACAGACAUAAAGAAGACGCCCUCAAGAAAGAUGUGGUGAAGACAGUGUUAUGCACCACCACACCACCAUUACACUUCCUGUCUUGCUUGGUGAAUGAACAGAGCACCACUAACAUCACAUCAUUGCAUCACCACAUCACCACACCACCACCUCCUGUCCUGCCCCAGUGAAAUAGAACAUCACCACCACAUCACCACAUCAAGAGUCAGUGAUUGCCUGCAGCCAGCCCUAGCCUGACCCGCCAGACAUGUGUCCCAGGCCUUCCCCUAGCCUGUAGAGCCAUGUAAGCCUGCAGGUCAAGGUCAGGUAAAAAAACAGGCCGUAACGUAAAAGAUCAAGACAUUUACGAAGACUGUCUUUGAUGGGCUCAGGUCCUCCGUGCAGACCACCAACAAGCAAGAGAUUGACGAAAUACAGGUUGUGAAGACGCUGCAAGCUGAUGCCUUCAGAGAUCGCGAAGGUCCUCACCUUGUUGUAGGAGAGCUGACAACAUGUACCAGCCAGCAGCAACUCCCAUGCUAACAGGCUUCUCCCCCGCGGGUAUGUAGCACCUCUGGAGUCGCUCGAUGAAGAAGAGGAUGCUGGCGAGGCCUGUCGUGUUAGCCGGGAUGCGCCGGUACAGAGCUGUGUCCGUUGGGGUUGUGUAGGCAAGCAUCUUCUUGGCAAGGUCCUCGUAGGUGGCCGCAAACAGUUUACGGCUGUGGGAUGAGAACUUGUCUUGUGAAUGUGACGUUGGGAGGAGGGAAGCACAGGGGAAGAGGAGGACGAGGAGGAAGAGAGUUAAGAGUCACAAGAGGAGGAGGAAGGUGGAAAGAAAGAGGAAGGAGAGGAGGAGGAGGAGGAGGAGGAAGAUGGAGAAGGAAAGGAGAAAGAUAAGAAGGAAGGAAAUGCCGCAGAAGGAGAAGAGCAAUAAGAAAUUAGAAUUGACAGAGAAACCAGACAAGGGACUGCAUUUGAAGAAGCACAAGAACCAAGAAAUUACAUCAUUCAAUGAAAUGACAACAUAAUCUAAAGUACAGAUACCAAGGGGAAAUUGCUGGGUCAAGUGGCUACACUGACAUCUGAGGUUAGCAGGUUGGAGAGUGAGUGCAGCAGUCUUCAGGUUCAGCUAGACUGUGAGAGGGAUAAGUAUAACAAACUGCUGGGAGAAUCUCUUGCUCAUGAAAAGUUGUCUGAAGAUGUCAUAACUGAACCAAAAGGAGAAACAACAGGAUUGGGAGGAACUGAGCUUUAACAGAAGCUGCAACAACUGCAGGAGGCUCACAGGGUCCUGGAGAGCAGGUUAACUUGCAGCAUGAAGGAGGUGGCUGAGCUAAGUGACAGGAAGUAGCAGCUUAAGCAUGCUGUAGUGCAUGAGGAGACAGAGUCCAUCGGUGUAUGCAUGUUUUUUGCUCAUUUGAAUCAUCUGUAAAAGUGAAGUGGAGGAAGUGUUUACUGUUUACUGUAUGCCAUUUCCUUGGUCUUUUAAUGAAGAAUUUUAUCCUUCUUCAGGUGACUACAUCACCAUCUACCAGUUGCAGCGAGGAGUGAUGAAGCAACAAGCUCGAGAACGCGAGUUAGACCUUGCCAGCCUCCAUCAUGAAUGAGAGGAAAUGAAGCAAAACCACUCUGCAGGAUUUGAUAUCAAAGCUGGUGCAGGAAAAGGAAGCAGAUCAUGACCUUCAGCAGCUCGAGAAGAUAAGCAGCGUCCUUAAGAGUCCAGUUGCUAUCUUUAGCAGUGUUGGAACCAGUGAGUCUGAGACACCCACCACCAGUGGAAAGGUGGCUGACGAGCGCCUCAAGCACUCUGAAAAGGUGGAGCAACAACAAGAAACAGAAAAUUGCAUCCAUCAUUCUUUGCCUGAGGAGGGAAUUGAUGCUCUGUUGACCCUUCACACUGAUGUCCCUCAUGAGGAGGGAGAAUAUGAAUCCUACAGAACUUGCCCAUAGGAAGACCAAAACUGUUACUGCUGCCACACUGCCACCACUUCCACUGACACCAAAAGCCCAACUGUGCAGAGAAUCCUGGACCUCCGCAAUGAAAUGGAGUCCACCAGUCACCUGGAGCACUUUAGCCUCCAAAAGUUCCAUCCGUGUCCAUUGUGUUUGGGUAAACUUAUCACUGUAUAAGGGGACAAGUAUCAGUGUAUGGUUACUAUAUACUCAUUUGUACUUAAAGAUGUCAUGUCACAUCAUUCUCUCUCUCUCUCUCUCUCUCUCUCUCUCUCUCUCUCUCUCUCUCUCUCUCUCUCUCUCUCUCUCUCUCUCUCUCUCUCUCUCUCUCUCUCUCUCUCUCUCUCUCUCUCUCUCUCUCUCUCUCUCUCUCUCUCUCUCUCUCUCUCUCUCUCUCUCUCUCUCUCUCUCUCUCUCUCUCUCUCUCUCUCUCUCUCUCUCUCUCUCUCUCUCUCUCUCUCUCUCUCUCUUUCUUUCUUUCUUUCUUUCUUUCUUUCUUUCUUUUGUUGCAUAUGUUACUGCUUUACAUUCCUCCCCACAGUAUUUUUUCAUCUACUUUAUGACUGCAGUAGUUUUAUCAUCCCAGUGUAUGCUGUAUCCACUCUGAAACUGUAAUUCACCAAUCAGCUCAAAUGUGUCUCUGUUUUGAUAAUCAUUAAUUUGUUUCAGCUACACAACCACUCUGAUAAGGGACAAAAUCUACUUCACCAGUCAUCUAUGUCAUACAGUCAUAUAUAUUCAUACAUAUGACAAAAUACUCUUCCUAAGACAUUUCUUAUUUUCUCUUCUCAAGUGACCUGUCCAUCUAUCUAAGGUACCACAUAACAUUUAAAACUUACAAUAUUGUGUUUAAUUCAUGAACACUUUUUUGUCUAUCUAUGGAGACUUGCGUAUAGACUUGAAAUGUAUUGGGAGUUUUCUUUAUCUCUCAUUCUAUACCUAACACCUGUUCCUAAGAAUCCCCAGGUGAUAGCCAUGGUGACUGGCUGGUCUCCUACUGAGUGGCUGGGGUUUUCCAAAAGUGAGGGUUGGUGUUCCAUACCAUACCAUGUGCCCUGUUUGUAUUCCUUCUUUGUCCUCUGUAUUAUAUUCUAUGUAAAGAUGGUGCUGGGGUGGGAUCUACUUCUUAUUCCCUAAAAGUGAUGAGGAGUGACACUGGGCAGCAUUGAUUUGCUCCUUAGAGAUGGCUGGGUUCCUGUGGAUGAGUGGGCCAUGCUGUGCUUUGUCAAGGAUGGUGUUUGGUAUUGUGAUGACUCUUGCCACAAUCAAGUGCCUCCCACAGAGUAGUGGAGUACCUAUGUAUGGUGUUGACCCAAGCUGUCCAGGUCUCAUCCAAUGCCUUAAUAUGAUUUAGAUGAUCAAAAUGGUUUAACUCACCAUUUAAUCAGCUGACUGAUUUGAAUGGAGAAGUAUGUAAUGUGUUGUAGCCUAACCAUCCCUGCCAGCAUGGUCAGAUUCUUGGUAGUAACCUGAAAUGCUCCUAGGUAGUGAGUAUCAUUGCACAUAAUGAUCUUUACUUUGUCAGUAAUUCAAUGAUACUGAAUAUUACUCUACUGGAUUUUGCUCACCACUGCUUGGUAACUUUUGGCCAUAAUCCCAGGUCUGGAAUGAUAUGAAGCCAUGUUUUUACAUUCCAUAUGAGACAGGCAAGCACUAUGCUUUGCCUGACUGAUACCUGUACUAUACAUUUAUGACCCCAGGUAGUUCAUCACUCUCUCUCUCUCUCUCUCUCUCUCUCUCUCUCUCUCUCUCUCUCUCUCUCUCUCUCUGUUUGGAAUUAUACUGUAUAUUAGGAAAUAUCAUUAAAGAGUGUGUGUGUAAAAAGUGUUUGCAUUAUUGUGCAUUUGAUGUUAUAGCCCCAGGUUCUUAAAGUUUUCUAGUUUCAUGAUUUAUAAAGAUUGCUAUUUUUAAUAAAGUUAUUGAAAUUGUUA